rnacentral:rRNA from 1 species
ACCGGCUUCGGCCGGGAGUAGAGUGGCGAACGGGCGAGGAAUGCGUUUCUAACGUGCCCCAAGGUCGAGGAUAGCUCGGGGAAACCCGGGGUAAUACUCGAUGACCCCCAUGGAUCGCAUGGUUCGUGGGGCAAAGGCUUGCUGCCUUGGGAUCGGGAAACGCCCUAUCAGGUUGUUGGUGAGGUAACGGCUCACCAAGCCUAAGACGGGUAGCGGGUGUGAGAGCAUGACCCGCCGCAUCGGGACUGAGACACUGCCCGGACUCCUACGGGAGGCUGCAGCAACGGAUAUUGGGCAAUGAGCGAAAGCUUGACCCAGCAAUGCCGCGUGCAGGAGGAAGCCCCUCGGGGUGUAAACUGCUGUCAGGGUUUAGGAAGUUCUGACCAAACCCAAAGGAAGGGCCGGCUAACUUCGUGCCAGCAGCCGCGGUAAUACGAAGGGCCCAAGCGUUAAUCGGAAUCACUGGGCUUAAAGGGUGCGCAGGCGGAAUGGUCAGUGUCUUGUGAAAUCCCACGGCUCAACCGUGGAACUGCAGGGCAUACUGCCAUUCUUGAGGCCGGUAGAGGCCGCCGGAACUCUAGGUGUAGCGGUGAAAUGCGUAGAUAUCUAGAGGAACGCCAAAGACGAAGGUAGGCGGCUGGGCCGGGUUCUGACGCUCAGGCACGAAAGCGUGGGGAGCAAACAGGAUUAGAUACCCUGGUAGUCCACGCCGUAAACGUUGUGCACUAGGUGCUGGAGGUUCUGACACCAUCAGCGCCGAAGCGAAAGUGAUUAGUGCACCGCCUGGGGAGUACGGUCGCAAGGCUAAAACUCAAAGGAAUUGACGGGGGCUCACACAAGCGGUGGAGCAUGUGGCUUAAUUCGAGGCAACGCGAAGAACCUUAUCCUGGGCUUGACAUGCAUGGAUUAACGCUGGGAAACCAGCGCCACAUUCUUUGAGUGGAACAUGCACAGGUGCUGCAUGGCUGUCGUCAGCUCGUGCUGUGAAGUGUUGGGUUAAGUCCCUUAACGAGCGAAACCCCUGUCGCUAGUUACCAUCGGGUAAUGCUGGGGACUCUAGCGAGACUGCCGGUGUCAAACCGGAGGAAGGCGGGGAUGACGUCAAGUCCUCAUGGCCUUUAUGCCCAGGGCUGCACACGUGCUACAAUGGCGCCGACAGAGCGAAGCAAAACCGCGAGGUAGAGCAAAUCGCAAAAAAGGUGCCCCAGUUCGGAUUGCAGUCUGCAACUCGACUGCAUGAAGCCGGAAUCGCUAGUAAUCGCGUAUCAGCAACGACGCGGUGAAUACGUUCCUGAGCCUUGUACACACCGCCCGUCAAGUCAUGGAAGCCGGGAGUACCCGAAG